GAGGGUAUAGCUCAGUAGCAGAGUGCUUACCUAGCAUGCAUGAGGUCCUGGGUUCAAUCCCCAGUAUCUCCA
rnacentral:tRNA from 1 species